rnacentral:rRNA from 1 species
AUUGAACGCUGGCGGCAGGCUUAACACAUGCAAGUCGAGCGGAGAUGAGGUGCUUGCACCUUAUCUUAGCGGCGGACGGGUGAGUAAUGCUUAGGAAUCUGCCUAUUAGUGGGGGACAACAUUCCGAAAGGAAUGCUAAUACCGCAUACGCCCUACGGGGGAAAGCAGGGGAUCUUCGGACCUUGCGCUAAUAGAUGAGCCUAAGUCGGAUUAGCUAGUUGGUGGGGUAAAGGCCUACCAAGGCGACGAUCUGUAGCGGGUCUGAGAGGAUGAUCCGACACACUGGGACUGAGACACGGCACAGAAUCCUACGGGAGGCAGCAGUGGGGAAUAUUGGACAAUGGGCGGAAGCCUGAUCCAGCCAUGCCGCGUGUGUGAAGAAGGCCUUUUGGUUGUAAAGCACUUUAAGCGAGGAGGAGGCUACCUGGAUUAAUACUCUAGGAUAGUGGACGUUACUCGCAGAAUAAGCACCGGCUAACUCUGUGCCAGCCGCCGCGGUAAAAC